GGGAAGGUGGCUCAGUGGUAGAGCACUUGCCUUGCAUGCAUGAGGCCCUGGGUUC
rfam:Dipodomys ordii contig_41519, whole genome shotgun sequence.